UACGUAGGGUGCAAGCGUUGUCCGGAAUUAUUGGGCGUAAAGAGCUCGUAGGCGGUUCGUCGCGUCGGCUGUGAAAUCCCGAGGCUCAACCUCGGGUCUGCAGUCGAUACGGGCGGACUAGAGUUCGGCAGGGGAGACUGGAAUUCCUGGUGUAGCGGUGAAAUGCGCAGAUAUCAGGAGGAACACCGGUGGCGAAGGCGGUUCUCUGGGCCGAUACUGACGCUGAGGAGCGAAAGCGUGGGGAGCGAACAGG
rnacentral:rRNA from 1 species